rnacentral:rRNA from 1 species
GAGGUGCUUGCACCUUUCAAGCGAGUGGCGAACGGGUGAGUAACACGUGGAUAACCUGCCUCAAGGCUGGGGAUAACAUUUGGAAACAGAUGCUAAUACCGAAUAAAACUUAGUAUCGCAUGAUAUCAAGUUAAAAGGCGCUACGGCGUCACCUAGAGAUGGAUCCGCGGUGCAUUAGUUAGUUGGUGGGGUAAAGGCUUACCAAGACGAUGAUGCAUAGCCGAGUUGAGAGACUGAUCGGCCACAUUGGGACUGAGACACGGCCCAAACUCCUACGGGAGGCUGCAGUAGGGAAUCUUCCACAAUGGGCGCAAGCCUGAUGGAGCAACGCCGCGUGUGUGAUGAAGGCUUUCGGGUCGUAAAGCACUGUUGUAUGGGAAGAAAUGCUAAAAUAGGGAAUGAUUUUAGUUUGACGGUACCAUACCAGAAAGGGACGGCUAAAUACGUGCCAGCAGCCGCGGUAAUACGUAUGUCCCGAGCGUUAUCCGGAUUUAUUGGGCGUAAAGCGAGCGCAGACGGUUGAUUAAGUCUGAUGUGAAAGCCCGGAGCUCAACUCCGGAAUGGCAUUGGAAACUGGUUAACUUGAGUGUUGUAGAGGUAAGUGGAACUCCAUGGGU